rnacentral:rRNA from 1 species
UACGUAGGUGGCAAGCGUUGUCCGGAUUUACUGGGCGUAAAGAGCGCGCAGGCGGUCGCUCAAGUCGCGUGUGAAAGCCCCCGGCUCAACUGGGGAGGGUCACGCGAUACUGAUCGACUGGAAGGCAGGAGAGGGUAGUGGAAUUCCCGGUGUAGUGGUGAAAUGCGUAGAUAUCAGGAAGAACACCCGUGGCGAAGGCGGCUCUCUGGGACGGUACUGACGCUGAGACGCGAAAGCGUGGGGAGCAAAAGGG